AUUUGCUGCUGGUAUUUUGCACCACCUGUCGUUGCCAAACAGACUAACAGCCUUUCCCAAGGAGAUACAGAUCUUUAGGUUAGCUGCUCCACCUGGGUCACAGAGACCAACACUGGUUUGAGAUGACACUAAGUCAGAAGUGGAUGAAAAAUUUCUCAGACUGGCACUGGAAAGAAAAGGCAGAACUUAUUACUUAUGAAAUGAAAAUGUCGUGAAUCUUCCUGAGGACUCAGAGGCACAUAGAACAAACUGGUGAAUGUUAUUAAAUAGAAAUUUGU
rnacentral:lncRNA from 1 species